UCUACACGCCUCCAUCUUAAAGAGUGUCAUUGACUUUUCACGAGAGUCCAAAUGAUUGCUAUGUUUUCUACAACAACAUAUGCUUAAGAACACAGUUUGCCUUAUCUCUGUUCAUAUAGUUUCAGAAAUGCUAACUUGCCACUGGUAUUUCAGGGUUUAGACAAUCACUGCAGCGAAGCUCUGCUGCAUCGUUGCAGCAACCUGUCUUCAUGAAGCUCCACACAGCCUCAGGAUUUAGACAAUCACUGAAGGGAAACUCUACUCCAUGACUGCAUCAACCUGUCUUCAUGUCAAGGUUGAGCCACCUGGUGCUGUGCGCUGCCUUCGACAUCUUCAAGUUUCCCCGCCUCUUGUGAUACUGGAUCCAGCCACCUGUCCGAUCUUCUAGCUCCCAGUCAUCAGGCGAUCUUAUGGAGAAGCCCUCCAUACAACUGCAGUGAGGAAGCUUGUUCUGUCCACACGUUGUGAAAGGUCCGCAAACGCCAUAUACAUUACAUUGGUCAUCGGGGUUGCUGAAGGCUGUUACCCACUCCUGUGCACGCUCGACCCACAACAGUAUCUUAACUUGACCGGAGACAUUCAGGGAAAAGCGCAUAAUCGUCGCUUCAUCUAGCAAGGUAUAAGUGAAGUACACCUCCUUUUCAUUGUUGAUGAAGGUAAAAUCAAUCAACUGGCGACCUGACAUCUCCGGUAUAGAACCAAAGAAGUGGCCGUUCCAUUCUCCGCUGGACCAGUAUGGUAUGGACGAGUUGUGCGCCGCAAGGCCGAACCGGGCAGAGCCAUUCUUCUCGUGCAUUUCGUAAGUGUACAUGCCGGGAGCAGGGUCCAUCGAGUUCUUCCUGGAAACAAGACGACGGUUCAGGCCGGUGACCUUGUCCCGCCCAAGCUUUGCGCCGGCUAGAUGGGUAUCGGUUGGGUAAUCAAAGCUCUGCCACAAGAUCUGGGAAGAGUUGGAGGUGCUCUGCAGGACAAGGUUACCGGUUUUCAGUAGCAUGGCCCUGGUGCUGUUUGCUGUGGUGUUAGCUCGGGUGGACCAGAUGAUGGACUUGGUGGUUUGGUCUAUGAUGACUAGGUUUCCAUCGUCGGAGAUUGCGAGCUCCGGCGAGGUGGGGCUGACGACAGGCUUAUCUCCGUUGGCAACCCAUGCUGGAGUGAACUUUGGGACGGUGUUGAACCAUAUGCCUAGGUACCAGCUGGAAGCAUCGCGUGAGGAGGACUUACUGAACGGUUGGAAGAAGCCAAGCGCGAACUUGCCGUUGCUGGAGAUAAGGGUGUCCUUGCCGGAUAGUCCCAGCCCAGCUGUGAUGGUGUCUUUCGCCUCCGCGCCUACAUGCAGGGAAAAGAGGAGGCCGAAGAAGAUGAUCAUCAUGUUCGACAUGGCGAACUACCGAAGUUUCUGCUUGCUUCAGCUUUGGAGAUGGGGAGUUGCAGCUGCUUUAACUUUGGACUUGGAGAGGGUGGAUUGCUGCUUCGGGCGUGAGGAUACGAGGAGUGGACAGCUACUAUAUGUGACAGAGAAAUAGGAAGCAUCAUGAGGAAGGCAGCUACUGGGUUUGAGGUUUGGCAUUAAAAUGCUGCAGCUGCAGCUGCAUCAUAGGACAGUGGAGUGAUACGUACGCAGCCGUUGGGGCACAGUGACUGGCUGCCGUUGAAUGCCGAAUAAGACUGAGGCGUACAGGCGACACCUCAAUUGUCUAUGUGACUGUGGAAUAUAGUUCUUCUUAAAGGAUAUAUACAUCGUACUGCCGUGUUCUUUGGGCCAGGAAUGGACCUGCUCAACGGCCGAUUGCUUUCACCCUGUUGUGAACCCAUCACUCUAUUAAUCACACCUACCUAAAUGUAGUAUCUUUAGGCUAAAGCCUUGAUCGCUUACUGGUUAAAUUAGU